AUGCGUGAGCUGAGAGAAGGUGAGAAAGGAGAACAACUCUUCUUUGCCGGAUGUGACGUCACAUUAUUGUUUGUUUUUUGCUUUUUGAAAUAGCUACUCUCGAACUCAGACACUAUGGUUCGCGCCUCGUUCGCGCGCGCAUUGUGAGCAUUCAAGUUUCGUAUUUUGCACUUGCUUAGUAGCUGAAAUUGCGGACAUUGCAGGGUUGGGCUUGAUGACAUUUGUUGCUCAGCUGCCGCGACACAUUUGGAGCAAAGGAGGAUUUGCUUCUAACUGCGGCAGUGACGUUGUGUAUUGUCCUCAGGAACGCUUGCGGUGUGCACAUUUGUCUAAUUUGUUUCACUGUGCUGCUGCUGUCUUUACAGCUUCUGCUUAUUUCCUUUGGCCGCACCUUAUAUUUGUUGUCUUUGUCAACAUCUGACCUGUUUCUGCCUUGUUGAAAGCAAGUGGCCACAAGUACUGCUUAGUUUGCUCAGUCUAAACCUGGAAGUGCAUCCAGUUUAGCGCCGUGUACAUGUGUACGGACGCGUGCACGGACGUAACGCUGCUGCCCAUCGCGAGUCGUAAGCGAAAAAAAAAGGCCGACUGAAAAAAAACAACAAGAAAUAAGCUGCACGAUCAACAGAUUUUUGAAGAGACCGUUUCAACAGAGAUAUCUGAAGCAGAUCGUUAUUGGAUAUGAAGAAAUGUGCAGUGGAUAACAGCAAAACAUGUGGUAACCGACUGACUGACGGUAGUAAGGCUCACAGCCUAAGUUUUUCACUAUUUACACUGAUAAUGUAGCAUGUAUUUGCGCAAUUAAAUCACCUGCUAUGCGCAGCAACCGCACUCAAUUGAAGCCGCCAACGCAGCGAUGCACCAUUUGCUGUUUCAGGAUCACGAAAAACAAUGUAUUCACCGAAGUACAGCGGCGGUUGACCUGUCGGCAAGCUGUUAAUUCACAUAUGGCGAAAGCAAAUGUCACGGAGUCCAAGCCCACGAAACUGCGCUCGCAAGAAUAUCGCGCACGCUUGGGCCUUUCUGACAUGCACAAUAGCGCACGCAGAGCGUGGUGCAGCCGACACCCGACAUUCGUGACUGAUCUACGUUCGAGAGUAGCUAUUUCAAAAAGCAAACAAAAAAAAAAGAAACAAUGUGACGUCGCAUCCGGCAAAGGAGAGUUGUUCUACUUUCUCACCUUCUCUCAGCUCAGGCAUGCGCAGCGACCACGGAGCCCUCGGGGGGCGACGUUCAGGUUAUACGAACGUCCGUGAAAGCAUUGCUUUCGAGCAAACCUUUUCAAAUUAAGUUUUCGCUCAUGUCCACGAGAUAGCAAAUUUCAGGGUUACAUUAGCCGCUAUAUUUUCCAAUUUCAUGUCACCUAGCUACCUCAGGUUGCAUUUACGCGCCGAGGCUUUUAACAAAAAUAGUUGUCAGCUGAAGAUCAAAGCGGUGUGCCACUAUUUGGAUGUUGUGAUAUUUGUGAAAUUGAUUAUAUUUUUCCCCUAGUCAUGCUAAACUACUUACCGGUCACAUGCUUGGACUUCUGAAGGAGCACUUGAAAGGUUUUCCUUCCAACCCAGUAUUGUAACU